AACGAACGCUGGCGGCAGGCCUAACACAUGCAAGUCGAGCGGACCCUUCGGGGUUAGCGGCGGACGGGUUAGUAACGCGUGGGAACGUGCCCAAAGGUACGGAAUAGCCUCGGGAAACUGAGGGUAAUACCGUAUGUGCCCCUCGGGGGAAAGGAUUUAUCGCCUUUGGAUCGCCGCGUUGGAUUAGGUAGUUGGUGGGGUAAGUGGCCUACCAAGCCGACGAUCCAUAGCUGGUUUGAGAGGAUGAUCAGCAACACUGGGACGUGAGACACGGCCCAGACUCCUACGGGAGGCAGCAGUGGGGAA
rnacentral:rRNA from 1 species